rnacentral:rRNA from 1 species
AACGAACGCUGGCGGCAUGCCUAACUCAUGCCAGUCGAACGAGACCUUCGGGUCUAGUGGCGCACGGGUGCGUAACGCGUGGGAACCUGCCCUUAGGUUCGGAAUAACUCCCCGAAAGGGGUGCUAAUACCGGAUAAUGUCUUCGGACCAAAGAUUUAUCGCCUUUGGAUGGGCCCGCGUUGGAUUAGCUAGUUGGUAGGGUAAAAGCCUACCAAGGCGACGAUCCAUAGCUGGUCUGAGAGGAUGAUCAGCCACACUGGGACUGAGACACGGCCCAGACUCCUACGGGAGGCAGCAGUGGGGAAUAUUGGACAAUGGGCGAAAGCCUGAUCCAGCAAUGCCGCGUGAGUGAUGAAGGCCUUAGGGUUGUAAAGCUCUUUUACCCGGGAUGAUAAUGACAGUACCGGGAGAAUAAGCUCCGGCUAAUUCCGUG